CCUACGGGCGGCAGCAGUGGGGAAUAUUGCGCAAUGGGGGCAACCCUGACGCAGCAACGCCGCGUGAUUGAAGAAGGCCUUCGGGUUGUAAAGAUCUUUAAUCGGGGACGAAUUUUGACGGUACCCGAAGAAUAAGCUCCUGCUAACUACGUGCCAGCAGGCGCGGUACUACGUAGGGAGCAAGCGUUAUCCGGAUUUACUGGGUGUAAAGGGCGUGUAGGCGGGCAUGGAAGCCAGAGGUGAAAUCUGGGGGCUUAACCCCCAAACUGCUUUUCGAACUGCGUGUCUUGGGUGAUGGGGAGGCAGGCGGAAGUGCCGGUGUAGCGGUAAAAUGCGUGGAUAUGGGGAGGAACACCAGUGGCGAAGGCGGCCUGCUGGACAUUAACUGACGCUGAGGCGCGAAAGCGUGGGGAGCAAACAGGAUUAGAUACCCUGGAGUC
rnacentral:rRNA from 1 species